GAUGAACGCUGGCGGCGUGCCUAAUACAUGCAAGUCGAACGCUUCACUUCGGUGAAGAGUGGCGAACGGGUGAGUAAUACAUAAGUAACCUGGCAUCUACAGGGGGAUAACUGAUGGAAACGUCAGCUAAGACCGCAUAGGUGUAGAGAUCGCAUGAACUCUAUAUGAAAAGUGCUACGGGACUGGUAGAUGAUGGACUUAUGGCGCAUUAGCUUGUUGGUAGGGUAACGGCCUACCAAGGCGACGAUGCGUAGCCGACCUGAGAGGGUGACCGGCCACACUGGGACUGAGACACGGCCCAGACUCCUACGGGAGGGAGCAGUAGGGAAUUUUCGGCAAUGGGGGAAACCCUGACCGAGCAACGCCGCGUGAAGGAAGAAGUAAUUCGUUAUGUAAACUUCUGUCAUAGAGGAAGAACGGUGGAUAUAGGGAAUGAUAUCCAAGUGACGGUACUCUAUAAGAAAGCCACGGCUAACUACGUG
rnacentral:rRNA from 1 species